CAGCCGCCGCGGGAAUACGAAGGGUGCAAGCGUUAAUCGGAAUUACUGGGCGUAAAGCGCGCGUAGGUGGUUCAUUAAGUUGGAUGUGAAAGCCCUGGGCUCAACCUGGGAACUGCAUCCAAAACUGGUGAGCUAGAGUACGGUAGAGGGUAGUGGAAUUUCCUGUGUAGCGGUGAAAUGCGUAGAUAUAGGAAGGAACACCAGUGGCGAAGGCGACUACCUGGACUGAUACUGACACUGAGGUGCGAAAGCGUGGGGAGCAAACAGGAUUAGAUACCCGCGUAGUCCCUGUCUCUUAUAC
rnacentral:rRNA from 1 species